rnacentral:rRNA from 1 species
UACGUAGGUGGCAAGCGUUGUCCGGAUUUACUGGGCGUAAAGGGCUCGUAGGCGGCCAACUAAGUCAGACGUGAAACCCCUCGGCUUAACCGGGGAACUGCGUCUGAUACUGGAUGGCUUGAGGUUGGGAGAGGGAUGCGGAAUUCCAGGUGUAGCGGUGAAAUGCGUAGAUAUCUGGAGGAACACCGGUGGCGAAGGCGGCAUCCUGGACCAAUUCUGACGCUGAGGAGCGAAAGCCAGGGGAGCAAACGGG